GGGAGUACCAUUUGGAAACAGAUGCUAAUACCGGAUAAAAGCACUUUCGCAUGAAAGAAGUUUAAAAAGGCGGCGUAAAGCUGUCGCUAAAAGGGGAUGGACCUGCGAUGCAUUAGCUAGUUGGUAAGGUAACGGCUUACCAAGGCGAUGAUGCAUAGCCCGAGUUGAGAGACUGAUCGGCCACAUUGGGACUGAGACACGGCCCAAACUCCUACGGGAGGCAGCAGUAGGGAAUCUUCCACAAUGGACGCAAGUCUGAUGGAGCAACGCCGCGUGAGUGAAGAAGGUUUUCGGAUCGUAAAGCUCUGUUGUUGGUGAAGAAGGAUAGAGGUAGUAACUGGCCUUUAUUUGACGGUAAUCAACCAGAAAGUCACGGCUAACUACGUGCCAGCAGCCGCGGUAAU
rnacentral:rRNA from 1 species